rnacentral:rRNA from 1 species
GACGAACGCUGGCGGCGUGCUUAACACAUGCAAGUCGAGCGGAAAGGCCCUUCAGGGUACUCGAGCGGCGAACGGGUGAGUAACACGUGAGUAAUCUGCCCUUCACUCUGGGAUAGCCACCGGAAACGGUGAUUAAUACCGGAUACGACCACCGUGGGCAUCCACUGGUGGUGGAAACUUUUUUGGGUGGGGGAUGUGCUCGCGGCCUAUCAGCUUGUUGGUGGGGUAAUGGCCUACCAAGGCUUCGACGGGUAGCCGGCCUGAGAGGGUGACCGGCCACACUGGGACUGAGACACGGCCCAGACUCCUACGGGAGGCAGCAGUGGGGAAUAUUGGACAAUGGGCGGAAGCCUGAUCCAGCAACGCCGCGUGAGGGAUGACGGCCUUCGGGUUGUAAACCUCUUUUAGCAAGGAAGAAGCGAAAGUGACGGUACUUGCAGAAAAAGCGCCGGCUAACUACGUGCCAGCAGCCGCGGUAAUAC